GUUAUCUGGAGGAAAAAUCUGAGGCAACAGUUUGGUGCAGUACAGAGAAGCAAAGCAAUAUACAGUAGCUGCACACAGCUUGAUUGGUUUCAGGAUCACAACUAAAUAUUCUUACUAUGACCGUUAGUACAGAAAUGUUCUGUAAUUAGAAAAAAUGAGAAGUAUUACUCUCAUGCUGUACAGUCUCAUGUUUCUUGGUUAGAAAAGAACAAGUGAUUGAGUUUGAAUCUUUCACGCCAACUUGCUAGGCUGUUGCCUCUGGAAUGUUCAGCACAAAGGUUAAGCUCCAGACAUAAUUUAAGUGCUUUUCAUGUGCAAACUGUUACUGGCUAAAGCUUUCAAAGUACAUUUAAUUACAGAUAUGAACACCCUGUAAAGAUAUGAGGAUAUGAUAGCAGACCCAGAGGCCAAUACAGAUUCUUUAAGAGAAAUACUAUGUUCAGCUGCAGUAGUUCUAGUCCCUGAUUAGGUCCUUCCAAAGAAACUGCACAUUUCAAUUGUAGGAAAUAGACCAUUCUUUGACAGAAGCAUCAUGGGAUGUUGUUACCAGAGUAUGUUCAUCCAACCAUGCCAAGCAGCUUACAUGAUGUAGUCUGUGAGCAUCUGGUAUCUUGAUUCUGGUCUCAGGAUCACUUACAGUCCAAACAUAUACCAUCAUAUCCAUGCCUCCAGAAGCAAAGUGUUCAUUGUCUGGUGACCAGGCAAUACAAACAACUUUUGCAUGAUGUCCAUAAAAAACAUUAUGUUCCGCAUAGCCAUCAGGGACACUAAAGACAGUGACAACUUUGUUUGCAUCACAAACUGCAAGAAAGGCACCAUCGUGAGAAUAUGCCAGGUCAGUAACAGGACCUUUAGCUUCCAAAGUCUUAUCAUCACUUUUCAAAGAGGUUCCUUGGAUUGAAUACAAACGGACAUUCCCAUCCGUUCCUCCCACUGCUACUGAACCUCCUCCAGGGUGAACAGCCACAGCUUCUGGCUCAUAGCCAAGGUCAUCAAUUGCAAAACAUUUUUUCUUAUCUUUCAUCAAGACAAUUUGUCCAAUGCAUAAAACUACAGUAUAGCCACCAGGACCCACAGCUAAACAUUUUGGUUGAACAUCCAUUUUCACAGCAUCCUGGCCACUGUAGUCCCUCUUGCUAAGGUUGGUAUAGCGCACAGUGUCAUCCAUACUGCAGGUGACAAGCUGAUCCAUUUCAUCCACUGCCAUUCUAGAAACCUGGUUUGUAUGGCCUUUCCCAGAAAAGCCGUCGUUCUCUCCAGUGUCAGAAUCCCAAUAAUUAAUAUGACCAUCGUUACUGCCAGAAUAAAUAUAGGACUUUCCACCAUUUUUAUGCACUGUGAGACACUGAAUUGAUUUACUAUGACCCUGUGAAUAGGACACAAAAAAUAAUUAUUGAUGAGCAAUUUUUCAUUUUAACAUUUAUAAACACUGAAUCUAUUUGAGAAGAAUUACAAGUUAUUUAGAAAGUAACAAUUUUAUUCAUAAGCAUUCAAGGUCAUCCAGAAUACAAAUCACUAAUUAACGAUGAAGUUGUUUUACUGCUGCAGUAUUGCUCUUUCCAUAUACUACCCUUUAAGGAGUAAGUAGUUACUGUGAAU
rnacentral:lncRNA from 1 species